UACGUAGGGCGCAAGCGUUGUCCGGAAUUAUUGGGCGUAAAGAGCUCGUAGGCGGCUUGUCACGUCGGAUGUGAAAGCCCGGGGCUUAACCCCGGGUCUGCAUUCGAUACGGGCAGGCUAGAGUUCGGUAGGGGAGAUCGGAAUUCCUGGUGUAGCGGUGAAAUGCGCAGAUAUCAGGAGGAACACCGGUGGCGAAGGCGGGUCUCUGGGCCGAUACUGACGCCGAGGAGCGAAAGCGUGGGGAGCGAACAGG
rnacentral:rRNA from 1 species